rnacentral:rRNA from 1 species
AGAGUUUGAUCAUGGCUCAGAUUGAACGCUGGCGGCAUGCCUUACACAUGCAAGUCGAACGGUAACAGGUCUUCGGAUGCUGACGAGUGGCGAACGGGUGAGUAAUACAUCGGAACGUGCCCGAUCGUGGGGGAUAACGAGGCGAAAGCUUUGCUAAUACCGCAUACGAUCUACGGAUGAAAGCGGGGGAUCUUCGGACCUCGCGCGGACGGAGCGGCCGAUGGCAGAUUAGGUAGUUGGUGGGAUAAAAGCUUACCAAGCCGACGAUCUGUAGCUGGUCUGAGAGGAUGAUCAGCCACACUGGGACUGAGACACGGCCCAGACUCCUACGGGAGGCAGCAGUGGGGAAUUUUGGACAAUGGGCGAAAGCCUGAUCCAGCCAUGCCGCGUGCAGGAUGAAGGCCUUCGGGUUGUAAACUGCUUUUGUACGGAACGAAAAGCCUCUUUCUAAUAAAGAGGGGUCAUGACGGUACCGUAAGAAUAAGCACCGGCUAACUACGUGCCAGCAGCCGCGGUAAUAC